AUCCUGGCUCAGGAUGAACGCUAGCUACAGGCUUAACACAUGCGAGUCGAGGGGCAUCGGGAAGAAAGCUUGCUUUCUUUGCUGGCGACCGGCGCACGGGUGAGUAACACGUAUCCAACCUGCCCUUUACUCGGGGAUAGCCUUUCGAAAGAAAGAUUAAUACCCGAUAGCAUAAUGAUUCCGCAUGGUUUCAUUAUUAAAGGAUUCCGGUAAAGGGUGGGGAUGCGUUCCAUUAGGUUGUUGGUGAGGUAACGGCUC
rnacentral:rRNA from 1 species